AAGUCGUAACAAGGUUUCCGUAGGUGAACCUGCGGAAGGAUCAUUAUUAUAAAAAACAAAAAUAUAUUUAUAUGUUUCUGUUUUGUUAAUAUUCUUUAUUGUAAUAGAUUUUUUUGGUUUCAAAAUGUCUGUUUUUGUCUAUUAUAAUUCAAACUCUAAAAACAAAAUUUUAUCGACUGAUUUGUACAAUUUAUUGUAUGAAGAACGUUGAGAUUUAUAUAUAAAAUGUCUUUGGUCUUUACAAGAAAUAAGUCUUAAAAUAACUUUUUACGAUGGAUCUCUUGGCUCUUA
rnacentral:misc_RNA from 1 species